rnacentral:lncRNA from 1 species
ACACAACUAAUCACAUCAAGCACCAAUAACAAUUUCAUAAAUCAUAUCCAAAUAUCAAGAGCAUUCAUAUGUAAUCCACAAAUUCCUUAGCACAUUCGCGAAUUCUCCUAAAAAUGUAUCUAAAGCGAGUAAGUAUGAAAGACAAUGAAAAAAUUCAAAAUCGUGCAAAUGGUUUUUAUAUCAUAGUUAGGAAUUAUGUGAAUGGUUUUUAUGCCCAUAAUUGUUCAAAAACAAAUUUUGAUAU